rnacentral:rRNA from 1 species
CCCUUAGAUGUUCUGGGCCGCACGCGUGCUACACUGAGUGGAUCAGCGGGUCAGGUUGCGCGAAAGUGUUUCCUAAUCUUGAAAUCCGCUCGUGAUGGGGAUUGACGGUUGCAAUUUUCCGUCAUGAACGAGGAAUACCUUGUAAGCGCGGGUCAUCAUCCCGCGCUGAAUACGUCCCUGCCCUUUGUACACACCGCCCGUCGCUCCUACCGAUUGGGUGAUCCGGUGAAUGAUUCGGACUCUGGCUAUGCUAGCUACUAGCUACGUCAGGGAAAGUUUUGUGAACCUUAUCACUUGGAGGAAGGAGAAGUCGUAACA